rnacentral:misc_RNA from 1 species
GAUGAAGAACGUAGCGAAAUGCGAUACGUAAUGUGAAUUGCAGAAUUCAGUGAAUCAUCGAAUCUUUGAACGCACAUUGCGCCUGCCAGCACUCUGGCAGGCAUGCCUGUUCGAGCGUCAUUUCAACCAUCAAGCCCUAGGCUUGCGUUGGAGCCCUGCGGCUGCCGCAGGCCCCUAAAAGCAGUGGCGGGCUCGCUAUCACACCGAGUGCAGUAGAUUACUCUUCGCUCAGGGCGUGUGGCGGGUUCCAGCCGUGAAACCCCCUACUUCUCAAGGUUGACCUCGAAUCAGGUAGGAAUACCCGCUGAACUUAAGCAUAUCAAUAAGCGGAGGA